ACAAGUGGCCAUAUUGGGGAACCCAAGGAGCAAGAAACCAUGAGUGGCCUCCAGGAACUGAAACCAAUAAGAAACUAAAGUCUGCAAUACUAUAAACACAAGACCAACUGCUACCUGUGUUUAAAAGAGGAUUAUUACACUCCUAGUAGAAUGGCCAAGAUCCUGAACACUGACAGCACCAAAUGCUGGAACUGUACCUGGCUUCUUACCACAUUGCCACUAGGUAACAUAAUAGGAAUGCAUAGUGCUUCCGAAGUGUUCACUGAAUGACGAAAAGAAUGAAUAACUGCAAGCAAGAAAACAGUUCCUCGAAGCUUGUAAAAGAUUCUGGGUAUUGUCAGUUACAGAAAUCAAUGACACCGAUUCUGGUUUGUUUCAUUGUAAUGGAACACCAGACUUCCAUUUCCUUGACCCUGGACGCCUUAUGCACUGAUAGACUACACUAGAUUUGUUUGGGUGGAAGGGGAGAGAAAAGAAGUGAAAGUUGAAGAGAAAAGUGAACGGAAUUUUUCUUAGAAAGAAGUGCCUGUGUGGUCUACAUCUUUAUUUGUCAAGUACUCAUUUUGAAAACAUAUCAUCAGAAGAGAAAUAUGGGG